AAUGCUGAGAAAGCAUUUCAGUGUGCGGCAUCAUCAUGCAAGCUCUGUAAGAGGAGAGUAAAAUCAAUACUCCUACUUGUAAAUGAAAGAGAAGAAAACAAAAACAAGCAAAUUCCUUCUAAGAUGUGAGGAACAUGAGUAAACAGAGAAAUCACCUAAGGAGAAAACAGAGAGCAGAUUUGAAACUGUGGCCACCAACGACCCGAGGGAGCGCAAAACCCAGCCCACUUGCCAGGGAGGCUGGCAGAACCCAUACCCAGUCGGUGCCCUGGUCGGUUACAUUCUGCUCUCCCAGCAGCAUUUUUUAGAAGGUACCAAAUAAGAAAAAUGUGGAUGAAGAUGGAGAAAGCAUACAAAACUUUUACACACUGGUUUGAAGGGCAAGCCGUUGUGCAUUUCUUGAAGUCAGGUGCUCUGCUCGGCAGAAGGUGUGCUGAAUAACGUUACAGGCUCUGUUCCCGGGAGAUAUGGAAGCUGUCACCGCGCGGAACAUAAAGAACAGGCCAAGAGCAGUGCAGGCAUCGACGACUUUCUCCAUUCAGAGCCUCCGCGCAUCCCAAAUAAAUAAACACAUCAAAACAUGCAAA
rnacentral:lncRNA from 1 species